rnacentral:rRNA from 1 species
GACGAACGCUGGCGGCGUGCUUAACACAUGCAAGUCGUACGGUAAGGCCCUUUCGGGGGUACUCGAGUGGCGAACGGGUGAGUAACACGUGAGUAACCUGCCCACAACUUUGGGAUAACGCUAGGAAACUGGUGCUAAUACUGGAUAUGUGCUCCUGCUGCAUGGUGGGGGUUGGAAAGCUCCGGCGGUUGUGGAUGGACUCGCGGCCUAUCAGCUUGUUGGUGGGGUAGUGGCCUACCAAGGCGGCGACGGGUAGCCGGCCUGAGAGGGUGACCGGCCACAUUGGGACUGAGAUACGGCCCAGACUCCUACGGGAGGCAGCAGUGGGGAAUAUUGCACAAUGGGCGCAAGCCUGAUGCAGCAACGCCGCGUGCGGGAUGACGGCCUUCGGGUUGUAAACCGCUUUCAGCAGGGACGAAGCUUUUUGUGACGGUACCUGCAGAAGAAGCACCGGCUAACUACGUG